GAUGUUGGGUUAAGUCCCGCAACGAGCGCAAUCCUUAUCCUUAGUUGCCAGCACGUCUGGGUGGGCACUCUAAGGAAACUGCCGGUGCUAAGCCGGAGGAAGGUGGGGAUGACGUCAAGUCCUCAUGGCCCUUACGCCCUGGGCUACACACGUGCUACAAUGGUGGUGACAGUGGGCAGCGAGAUCGCAAGGUCGAGCUAAUCUCCAAAAGCCAUCUCAGUUCGGAUUGCACUCUGCAACUCGGGUGCAUGAAGUUGGAAUCGCUAGUAAUCGUGGAUCAGCAUGCCACGGUGAAUACGUUCCCGGGCCUUGUACACACCGCCCGUCACACCAUGGGAGUUGGAUCAACCCGAAGCUGGUGCGCUAACUCGCAAGAGAGGCAGCCAACCACGGUGGGUUCAGCGACUGGGGUGAAGUCGUAACAAGGUAGCCGUAGGAGAACCUGCGGCUGGAUCACCUCCUU
rnacentral:rRNA from 1 species